GCCAGGGUGGCACAGUGGUUAGUGCAUCUUCCUAGUGAGCAGGAGACCUAUGUUCAAAUCCUGGCCUUGGCA